rnacentral:rRNA from 1 species
CCCUACGGGAGGCAGCAGUGAGGAAUAUUGGUCAAUGGGCGGGAGCCUGAACCAGCCAAGCCGCGUGAGGGAAGAAGGUACAGCGUAUCGUAAACCUCUUUUGUCAGGGAACAAAGGCGGGGACUAGUCCCCGGAUGAGGGUACCUGAAGAAAAAGCAUCGGCUAACUCCGUGCCAGCAGCCGCGGUAAUACGGAGGAUGCGAGCGUUAUCCGGAUUUAUUGGGUUUAAAGGGUGCGCAGGCGGCCGGUUAAGUCAGAGGUAAAAGCCCGGGGCUCAAGCCCGGAACUGCUCUGGAAACUGGGCG